rnacentral:misc_RNA from 1 species
AUUAUGAUCUACAAGACAAGAUGAUAGAAACUAUCUAGCUAGACGUACGGAUCAUUUUAGAGCUAGCUGGAAUUACAAAAACAGGACAGAAUUAAAGAAUUAUAGAAAAAAAAAACCCCACAAAAUUAAUUAAAAUAAAAAAAGGAAGAAAAAAAAAAUCAGAAUCUUGCAAAGAGAGAUCUCUAGACUGGCUAUAUAUUACUUGUUUUGAAUAGGAUUAGAGACGCUUGGUGGGGCUUUUCUUAGGCUCUGCUCCACAGCUUUCUUGGGCUCUUUCAUGGCUUCAUUCACCAACAACCUGCUAUCGGUUCUGGCAGUCUGCACUGGAAUCAAUAACAGCCUUCUUGGUAGAGUUUUUUGAUCUAUGGAGAUAUCUUCAUUGCAAAGACAUGGGGAAGAGAAUGUGAGGAUGUGAAGAAGAAUCAAGGCAACCAGAGCAGCCAAAGUUCCGGAAUUGAUCUUCAUGAAGAGAAUGUGGCGAUCACUCAUCACUAAGUAAAG